AACGAACGCUGGCGGCAGGCCUAACACAUGCAAGUCGAGCGAAGCCUUCGGGCUUAGCGGCGGACGGGUGAGUAACGCGUGGGAACGUGCCCUUUGCUACGGAAUAGCCCCGGGAAACUGGGAGUAAUACCGUAUGUGCCCUUCGGGGGAAAGAUUUAUCAGCAAAGGAUCGGCCCGCGUUGGAUUAGGUAGUUGGUGGGGUAAUGGCCUACCAAGCCGACGAUCCAUAGCUGGUUUGAGAGGAUGAUCAGCCACACUGGGACUGAGACACGGCCCAGACUCCUACGGGAGGCAGCAGUGGGGAAUCUUAGACAAUGGGGGAAACCCUGAUCUAGCCAUGCCGCGUGAUCGAUGAAGGCCUUAGGGUUGUAAAGAUCCUUCAGUGGGGAAGAUAAUGACUGUACCCACAGAAGAAGCCCCGGCUAACUCCGUGCCAGCAGCCGCCGUAAAAC
rnacentral:rRNA from 1 species